AGAGUUUGAUCCUGGCUCAGGACGAACGCUGGCGGCGUGCCUAACACAUGCAAGUCGAACGGAAGUUAGAGCUUCGGUUUUAACUUUAGUGGCGAACGGGUGAGUAACGCGUGAGGAACCUGCCUUUCAGUGGGGGACAACAGUUGGAAACGACUGCUAAUACCGCAUGAUACUUUUGGGGGACAUCCCUUGAAAGUCAAAGCUUUAUGUGCUGAAAGAUGGCCUCGCGUCUGAUUAGCUAGUUGGUGAGGUAACGGCUCACCAAGGCGACGAUCAGUAGCCGGUCUGAGAGGAUGAACGGCCACAUUGGGACUGAGAUACGGCCCAGACUCCUACGGGAGGCAGCAGUGGGGAAUAUUGGGCAAUGGGCGCAAGCCUGACCCAGCAACGCCGCGUGAAGGAAGAAGGCUUUCGGGUUGUAAACUUCUUUUAAGUGGGAAGAGUAGAAGACGGUACCACUUGAAUAAGCCACGGCUAACUACGUGCCAGCAGCCGCGGUAAUACGUAGGUGGCAAGCGUUGUCCGGAUUUACUGGGUGUAAAGGGCGUGUAGGCGGAGAUGCAAGUUGGGAGUGAAAUCCAUGGGCUCAACCCAUGAACUGCUCUCAAAACUGUAUCCCUUGAGUAUCGGAGAGGCAAGCGGAAUUCCUAGUGUAGCGGUGAAAUGCGUAGAUAUUAGGAGGAACACCAGUGGCGAAGGCGGCUUGCUGGACGACAACUGACGCUGAGGCGCGAAAGCGUGGGGAGCAAACAGGAUUAGAUACCCUGGUAGUCCACGCUGUAAACGAUGAAUACUAGGUGUGGGAGGACUGACCCCUUCCGUGCCGCAGUUAACACAAUAAGUAUUCCACCUGGGGAGUACGACCGCAAGGUUGAAACUCAAAGGAAUUGACGGGGGCCC
rnacentral:rRNA from 1 species